AAUGCAUGAUUGGUUGGGCUGUA
rnacentral:siRNA from 1 species